rnacentral:rRNA from 1 species
UACGGAAGGUCCGGGCGUUAUCCGGAUUUAUUGGGUUUAAAGGGAGCGUAGGCCGCUUUGUAAGCGUGUUGUGAAAUUUGCCGGCUCAACCGGUAACUUGCAGCGCGAACUGCAGAGCUUGAGUGUGCGCAACGUUGGCGGAAUUCGUCGUGUAGCGGUGAAAUGCUUAGAUAUGACGAAGAACUCCGAUUGCGAAGGCAGCUGACGGGAGCACUACUGACGCUGAAGCUCGAAAGUGCGGGUAUCGAACAGGAUUAGAUACCCUGGUAGUCCGCACGGUAAACGAUGGAUGCCCGCUGUUUGAACAUAGUUGCAAGCGGCCAAGCGAAAGCGUUAAGCAUCCCACCUGGGGAGUACGCCGGCAACGGUGAA